rnacentral:rRNA from 1 species
CGCAAGACCUUGCGCUAUGAGAUGAGCCGAAGUCGGAUUAGCUAGUUGGUGAGGUAAAGGCUCACCAGGCGACGAUCCGUAGCUGGUCUGAGAGGACGACCAGCCACACGUGGGACUGAGACACGGCCCAGACUCCUACGGGAGGCAGCAGGUGGGGAAUAUUGGACAAUGGGGGCAACCCUGAUCCAGCGACGCCGCGUGUGUGAAGAAGGCCUGCGGGUUGUAAAGCACUUUUAGUGGGGAUGAAAAGCCAAGGGCUAAUACCCUUUGGUCUUGACCUAACCCAAAGAAAAAGCACCGGCUAACUCUGUGCCAGCAGCCGCGGUAAUACAGAGGGUGCAAGCGUUAAUCGGAAUUACUGGGCGUAAAGCGUGCGCAGUCGGUUAUCUAAGUCGGAUGUGAAAUCCCCGGGCUCAACCUGGGGAAUUGCAUUCGAUACUGGAUAGCUAGAGUUCGGCAGAGGGAAGCGGAAUUUCGGGUGUAGCGGUGAAAUGCGUAGAUAUCCGAAGGAACAUCAGUGGCGAA